CGGUACCGGACUGAGCGAAGCGAGGGAGGAUAAGGAG
rfam:Alicyclobacillus macrosporangiidus strain DSM 17980 genome assembly, contig: Ga0104483_123